rnacentral:rRNA from 1 species
CUGGCGGCGUGCCUAAUACAUGCAAGUCGAGCGAACGGACGAGAAGCUUGCUUCUCUGAUGUUAGCGGCGGACGGGUGAGUAACACGUGGAUAACCUACCUAUAAGACUGGGAUAACUUCGGGAAACCGGAGCUAAUACCGGAUAAUAUUUUGAACCGCAUGGUUCAAAAGUGAAAGACGGUCUUGCUGUCACUUAUAGAUGGAUCCGCGCUGCAUUAGCUAGUUGGUAAGGUAACGGCUUACCAAGGCAACGAUGCAUAGCCGACCUGAGAGGGUGAUCGGCCACACUGGAACUGAGACACGGUCCAGACUCCUACGGGAGGCAGCAGUAGGGAAUCUUCCGCAAUGGGCGAAAGCCUGACGGAGCAACGCCGCGUGAGUGAUGAAGGUCUUCGGAUCGUAAAACUCUGUUAUUAGGGAAGAACAUAUGUGUAAGUAACUGUGCACAUCUUGA